UAGGUAUAUGGGAGGGUAGGAGGGAGAAAAGAGAAGGAGGAAAUGUUCUAAUUCAAUUAUAAUCUCGAAAUAUAUAUCAACAAGAACAUCAAAACCAGGUGUGGUGGUAUGUUUAUCCCAAAGCCGAGGAGGUAGAGGUAGGCAGGUCUUUCAGGUUGAAUGACCAGAUCCUCUAAUCUAUCUGGUGAACACUAGACCAAUGAGUGAACAUGUCUCAAAGACCAGUGUGGAUGACUCCUAAGAACAUGUGCAUGUGAGCACACAUGAGCAUGUACCACAUGCAUGUUACUUAGGAAGAUAAGCUUUAUCUAUGUGUAUAUUAUAAUUGUUGAAAUGACUUAAUUGUGGGUCCCCAAAAAAAUCAGAGGAUACUCUUUGUUUUAAGUAAUUUAUUUUAUAUCUUGACCAAAGUUUCCCCUCCCUUCUCUCGUCUCAGUCCUUCCUACCCACCUCUCUCCCCCAUUUACUCUUCCCCCUUCUUUUACGAAAAAUGGGAGGUCUCCAAUGGAUAUCAACUUGCCUUGAAAUAUCAAGUUGCAGUAAGACUAGGUGCAUAUAUUUCUCUCCAGGAUAGAAGACGCAGCUCAGGAUGGGGAAAGGGUCUUAAAGUCAGGCAACAGAGUCAGAGACCAGCUCAGCUCCUGCUGUAAAGAGUCCCACAUGAAGAGCAAGCUGUAUAACUCUUACAACUGCAGAGGGGGCCUAGGUCGAUCUCAUACAUGCUCCCUGGUUGUCAGAUCAGUCUCUGUGGGCCUUAAUGAGGCAAGGUUAGUUAAUUUCAUAGGUUUUCCUGUGGUGUCCUUGACCUCCUAGCUCCUACAAUCGCCCAUUUCUGCAGGAUUCUCCAAGUUCUACCUAAUGUUUGGCUGUGGAUCUCUGUAUCUGUUUUUAUAAAUUGUUGGGUAAAACCUCUCUGAUGUUGGUUAUGCUAGGCGCCUGUCUUCAAUUAUAGCAGAAUAUCAUUAACAGUAUCAGGGGUGGGUUCCCUCAUGGCAUGGAUCUCAAGCUGAAUCAGUUAUUUGUUGGCCACUCACUCAAUUACUGUUACAGCUUUAUUCCUGUACCUUGUAAAUAGUGCAGAAUAUAGGCCAGAGGAUUUUUGGCUGGGUUGGUGUUCUGUUCCCUCUACUGGAAGUCUUGCCAGGUUAUAGGAGUUGGUCGCUAUCUCCUAUAUGGUUCAGGCUCGAUAACCUGCCUGUUAGGAGUCUCAGCUUGAGUCACCCUCAUAGACUCCUGUGAGUUUCUAUUGUCCUAGCUUUCUAUCUUGUUCAUCUUGUUCAAGAAAUGCCUCCCCGACCCAAUUCCAAUCCUCUCAGUACCCUCUCCCUCCACUCUCCCCUCACCGGAUCCCUCCUGUUUCCAUCCUCACACCUAUACUCUUCCAGGAACCAUGAUGUUUAUUUUAUUUCCCUUUCUCGGUGAGAUUCAUGCAUUGCCUCCUUAGGUCACAGUAAAUACUUUUUUUUCUGUAAAAAUAUUUAUUGUUAAAAUUUCUUUAUGCUAUUUGAUAUGUGCGUUUAUGUAUAUAAUAAGCACAUAGAUGACGAAACAGACAAAUUUACGUUUAACUUCAAAAUAAAAUGACCCACUGAGGCAAAUGUGCACUAGCUUGGUUUUGCAUCACAGUAACCUGAGGUUUAUAAGAAUUAAUACGCAUUGUCAUCUCAUUCCUGGUGUGUAAAAUAGCAUACACAAUUAAUUUGUAUGAAGAACUAGAAAGUAAUUAACUCAGUCCCUGCUUUUGGAUUAGUCUUGCCUAUUUUGAGUAGACAUCUAAAGUGAAUUCUCCAGCAUUUCCAUUAAUUUUUUUGGACAAUAAAAUACUCUGAUCACGUAAAUAAUCCCACUUCAGCCAUCAAUGUGAUUAGUAAUCAGUAGUCCUAAUUUGUUAUCAAGUUAGGAUCUAUCAUUCUCAUCUUGGUUCUGGUGCAGAUGAAGAAAAGGUAAGAUCCUGGCAUCCCAUUAAUUACAUUAAUUACAGCAGUGUGUGUGUGUGUGUGUGUGUGUGUGUGUGCGCGCGCGCCCCCGCGCGCGCGUGUUUUGUCUAUGUGUGUUGUAAGUACACAUUAAUGUGAAUAAUGCGCAUGAGUGAAUGUGGAACUCAGAGGAUGGUAUUACCCGUCCUUCUCGGUUGCUCUCCAUCUUGUUAACCAUUCAGUUAUUUACUUUGGCUACAGCCCUUUAAACUGAGCCCAGAGCUCCCUGAUUCUGCCAGACUGACUAAUGAGGUCCAGCAAUCCCAUCUCUGCUCUCUCCUGUUAGAGCUGCAGGCGCAUGCUGCCAUAGCCAACUUAACACAUGUUCAGAGGAUUUCAUCGCCUAUCAUUAAGCUUGUGUUGGAGGCUCUUUUACCCACUGUUGGAGUCACUAACAGUUAGAGAAGGCAGGGCUACUGAGGGUAAGGUUUGCUUAUAACACAUGCUGGCCUGUGUGCACUGAUCAGACAAAUAGGUCACUCUGUGACACCGAUCAGACAAAUGGGUCUUUCCUUCACUUUAGGGGUCAUUUAAAACUUAGAAUCUCUAGGUAUCUUAUGAUUAUAAAAAAUGAGAUGUAUGUAAAACAUUACUUUAAAUUUGAAUAAAACUAAUUGGUUCAUGAUAAAUUUAAAUGCUUAUUAUACUUGAGGAUAUUGUAUGUGCAACAAUGUUAAUAUACAGCAACAUUGCUCAUUGUUUGAAAAUGUGAGAAGAAACCAAUCCAUUAGGUCAAUGAUGGCUCACAAUUUCCUAAAUGCUGUGGCCAGCUUAUAUGCCUGAGGCACAUAAAAUUAAGACAUAUUGAACCAUGUUCAAUCUUUUUUAGAACUGUCAAUCUAGUAAGAGAAUCACAUGCAAAGGGAUGCCAAAAGGUGAUCAAAAUGUAUUUUGUGUCACUAUAGGAAAAUCUGCAAAGGCUGAAGACAAAGGAAUUCUGAAUGAACAUCUAAAUUUAAUCAAGAAAGGUUUUGCAAAGGACAUUUAAACAGUGUCUUGAAUGAGGAAGGACAUUUCUAGAGAGAAAGCACAGGGCUUUUCACAUCAUAAUAGAUUAAACAAGAGUCAGAAAACAGGAGCUUAGGUGAUGUGAUAUCAUAAAGAAGCAGUACGCCUGACAUACUAGGUUAAUGUAUCUAUAAGAUAUUGCAGUGUGUUUCAUAAAUAACUUGUGUUGCAUUAAACAUUUUUAACUUCUUUCUACAGGUCAUUGGAGGUUACAACUAUUUAUUAUCUCUUUUGGUUCUAAACUAUUUAAAAUAUUGCACACAUAUAGACACAUAUUAAAGGUGAUAACAUAGUUUCUCACUUUAUUAUUAGUUUUAAUUAAUUAAUUUUUAACCUAUUCCCUUUACAUACUGAUCACUGCCUUCCUCCUAUUCACUCCUUCCCACAAUCCUUCCCUCAUUCCCCUCUCCUUCUCCUCUGAGUUUGUGGGGGCCUCCUUGGUAUCCCUUCACCCUGGCACAUCAAGUCUAUGAGGCUAGGUACUUCCUCUUCCGCCGAGGCCAGAUGAGUCAGCCAGCUAGAACAACAUAUCCCACAGGUGGACAAGAGCUUUGGAAUAGCCCCUGCUCCAGUUGUUCUGGACCCACAUGAAGAAAAGCUGCACAAUGCUACGUAUGUGUUGGGAGGCCUACGUCCAGCCCAUAUAUGUUCUUUGGUUGGUGAUUCUGUUUCGGAGAGCCCCAAGGGUCCAGAUAAAUGUCAUGAACGACAAAGAAAAAUGGAAAGACAGAAAAAAGAACGAAAGGAGCUUGCAGUUUUUAACACUGGAAUGAACUGAUUGGACUGAUCAUAUCGAUGAUUGAUCAUUCCUUUGCUCAAGCAUCGUAAGAGAUCAUCCCUCCUCUCCUCUGCAGUGAGAGCAAAUGCAGACGCCCACAGACAGGCAUUAUGCAGAGAGCCAGAGAUAUUUGGAAUGCUCAGUCAUGGGCUGUCUUCAUCAAAUCCUCUUUUCAGGCCUCAGGAGAUCCCAUGAAGCAGAAGCAGAGAGAAUGUACAGACAAAGACGAGAAGGGAUGGAGGACACCAGAAAACAAGACAUCCUGAACCACCAUGAUCUAUGCAAACAUGAAUUCACAGAGACUGCAGCAGCAGGCACAGAGCCUGCACUCGUCUGCACCAGAUGCUGAAAAAAAGAAAGUGGACACACGCUUCCAUCACUAACCCAGAAGUCUGUUUUAGCCUCUGAAAAUUUCAAAUUCCAACCACAAAAGGCACAAGCCUGUCUAUUCUGUGAAUGCUUUCAAGUCUGUGGAAGAGAGAGGACGUGAUGAAAUUCUCUUCAUUAAUUCUAAGCAAUGAUUGGAAGGCUUUUACUGGAGGAAAUGAAGAUUACACCAAUAAAGAGAUUUGCAGAGGAGACACAACCACUGAAAAUGAUGCUUCUAACUGUCUGGGGAGGUAGUGCUACUGGGAAGUUCCUUGGUCUUCUGAAAGCUAUUUUAAGUUUAAUGAUCUUUUCUCUUAUAUAGAAGCGGUGUGCCCAGGUAAGUAUGAACAUUCACAGAGAUCUGUCUGCUUUCUAGAAGAGGCCAAAGCUCAUUUCAUUUGUGUCCCGGUGAGGACAGAAUAAUCUUACUUGCUGCAAAUUAAUGCUUGGUACCAGAAUCAAGGGAUGAGGAAGUUUAGAAGACAGGCUUUGUAUCCGUCCUAUUGUCAGGAAACCAAUAAGCAAGCCCCAGAACCCAAUACACAGUGAGAAACGAUGAUGGAUAUGAAAAGCUUACUGCCCAUGAGAUAGAUGCCCAUUACUACAUUGUAACAAGGCAGUGUAGGACAAGGAUUUACUGUUGAGAAGCUCUGCCUUGUAUAAGCACAGACUAUUUCAUACAGUUAACUUUCUCCAAGGGGGAGUUUUACAAAACCAGGCUGUAUUUAUCAGCUCUAUCUCUUUCUGCCCUGCAGGCCUCACCCUAUAAGAGGGUAUGUGGGUAAACUCAGGCUGGGAGACUGCUUGGCUAUGGGAGGACCACCCGAACUGUUUAGCCUGUGACCACUGCAGAGUCGCCCGCAAGAGCAAAUAGGAGGAGGGCGAGUGGGACACACGACUUUGGUUUGGUUUUGUGACCAGUCCAUUCAUCUUUACCAAGGUGGGAUAUUAAAAAAAUGUGUCUAUUAGAAAAGUAGUUAAGAAAUUUUGAAAAGGUAAAAUCGUUGUUUUCUUCCUUCUCAUAAAUGAAACGUUGUCACUCUUUCACAAACACCCACACAAGGAAAAUGGUGAAGGAGAAACGCUUACAAGACACAGAAAACAAAGAGGUGAGUGGAUGUAUUAAAUGUCCUCAGAAUUCACGGAAUGGCUUCUGCUUUUAUUUUAUUUUAUUUUAUUGCCGGUGCAACCCAAGGGAACUCCUGCAAGCUUACUUUCUAUAUGUUAGUGAGCUAAACACGAGAGUGAUAUACACUUACCUUCUAUAAGGUAAUGAGCUAAGUACAAGACUAAUCUUUUCCGAGAUUCAUCCCCCUCCCAGUCCUGGACUUUAGAGGGAUCAAAACAAAUCAUACUCAUCCCUCCGAUACCACAGUACUCAGAAGUAAAGGCGAUUUUUCAUUAAUGUUUAGUUUCUAAUGUGUGGCAGGAAGAACACAGACAUGGAGGGGGAUACUGGAUCAACAGUAAACACCUAUCAAUAAUGGAAUAGUUCCUUGAUUUCAAACAUCUCCUAAAUUACUUUUUAUAUUCAGUUUUGGACAAAAGGAUAAAAGUGGCUUUUAAAGCAAGAUGUAUUUAUUCUAUUAAAAUUCAAUACUUUUUUGAAUAUAGAGUUAUCAUUUACUAAUUCUGGAGUAGGUCACAUAUUAACUUAUAAAUUCAGAAACAUGGUCCAAAUUACUCGUGACUCUUUACUAUUGGUUGGAGUAUAUACUAAAGUGUUUCUGUGCCUGUGCUAUCCUGAUUCGAAAAAAAGAUCUCGUAUUAUAAUUUCACAUCUUGGUUUUAAAUAAUUUGCUUAAUUAAUUGAGAGUAUUCCACCUAUAUCCAGAUGCAUAAUAAAAACUGUAAAUAUUCUAGAAGAUGAAAAGCAAAGUACAUCCGUUAUUAAUAUUUGGAUUUUCCUAGAGUUUCUCAAGUUUUAACUUUAGGCAAAUGGGCACUGACCCAAUAGCUUGGCUUUAAACUAUAUCUGCAGGUUAUUUUUAUCCAUUUGGCCUUCAGUGAUCACAUCCAUAUUUGUGCUUUCUGAAGUCUUCAGCAAAAUGCCUCACAGAUACUCUGUACUCGAAGCUAAUAUCAGGGUUGCCUUUUUUAAACAUUGCAAAUUUUACCUCAAGUGCUAUGCCAUAAAUUUACAAGGAAAAAAAUUUAUUAAAUUAUAACUGAGGGGAGCUGAUUUUUUAACCUAGCAAACAAAAAAUCCUUCAUGUAAGGCUAUAAAACCCAAAUUAUUUACCAAAGAGACCUUUCCUGUCUCCCAGGUAAACACUUACAGUGUGUAGACUUGUGUAAAUACAUAUUUAGGAGUGGCUAAAUAUGGCAAGGUAUUUUUAAAGGCAUAUUUGCAGAGCUGAAUACACAUGCUGGCAUUUUUGGUGUGUGGGGACUGUACACACUGCUCUGCUGUCUAUUCAGAAUCCCAUCAGGACUGCGGCGGCGUAUGCUGGAUACAGGGGUGGGAUUUAAACAUUCAUUUCUAAGCAAAUUGCUAAGGACAGGUCCUUAAUUGUGUGAAAAGUUUCAACUAAGGAAGAUCGGGGGUAUUCUCUUUUCAGCAUGACCAGAGGAAGGUUGCUCAGAAACUCGGGAAUCAUCCACGAAUGUCAAGCUGCUUUCUGAGCCUAUUCUCUAUAAAAACAAUUAUUUCAUUUCAGCUCAGAAUAGCACAUUACAGAAGACUCAGGGAGUCUCCACGGUAAAUGUGGUCAAAUGGGACGUUUUUGCUUAUAGAGAAACUACCAUUAAGACAUCAGCUGCUGAGAACGUGUGGCAAUGUAGGUUGCUACUGAGGCAGUGAUAGGAAGCAGCCUGUGACAAUGUCGCGAAACUGUCCAGAAGACACAUUGGGUCUCUGUGUAUCAUCUUGUGAGAGUUUUUUUUUUUCCUUUUCCUUAAAGAGAAAAGGAAUGGGUUGAGGAAAGAGAGUGGGAGAGUGUUGGCUGCAUGAGAGGGCCCUACUUAUGUUCCUUUCCCUUCUCCUUGUCCCUCAGAAUGAAUAUGGAUCAAACACCGUAGGAGAAUUUCAGAUGGGGAGUCUGAGAGUCUAAAUAAACUGUAAAGCUUUAGGUACCCCAGAAGCCUUUGGGUAAGGAAUCUAAAGGGUGCUUUUAUUUCCUUUCUAAUGCUGUAUGCCACUAUUUCUAAAGAAGUUUCUCACUACCCUCCGAUGGGACAAUUUAAAAAUCGUUUUACACUAGGCCGUAUGGGGACAAAGGAUAUUUAUUCAGUCAAAUAAUUUCUCCAUUAAAAUGUAUCUUGAGCUGAAUUUUUGACUUCACAAAGAUGUUCAUUAUAUGAAUCCGUUUUUUUUUAAUGAUACAAACACCUCAAAGUUUGCUUAAAUAUUUUAGGCUGUAAAAGCGACAGUGUCUUACUAACUUAAAAAUUCAUUGUGACAGAGUUGUGAGGGCUCUGGACUGGAGGAAUGUCAAACACACGUGCUGAUGUGGUGCUCCUUUAAGUCUCACGGAGCACUCCAUACACAGCAGUACCGACUGCUGAGAAACAAGCUUUGCCAGCAAGUGACAACCUUCGUUCUUGCCCCCAUAGGUCUGAGCAGGUAUAGUGCCAUUUUUAUUGGUUUCUUCCUCUCUUGACUUUAUUCUGUGAGCUAAGUAUCUCAUUUCCAUGUAAACUUCCAGUGGGAACACAAAUCGCUGACACCACAUCUACUGACAGCAACGCCACAACAUAAAUUACCCCGAGAAAAUGCUGCUUUGCCUGGGCGGGGGCACAACAGAGGGAACUAAGCUAGAUAAAAAGCCACCGUGCCGCUGCCCAGGCUCCAGCCCCGUCCCGCUGACCACUGAUAAAAUUUAUCACUGGGCCACAUACGGGAAGGCAGCUGAAAGAGAAGUCGCCUGUGGUAAAACGUGUAACAGCAAAACAGCUAAUAGAGCAUUGCUACUUUAUUGGAAAACAGUAUCUGACGCUUUGCUCUUCCAGCUCCAGGGUGGGAACUGGCUCCUGGACCUGUAGAAUAGUAACGUGCAUCCCUAAGAGCUCACCGUGCAGCUCCUCCAUCCAGUGUCCCGAACCACAGAGAGGCGUGGUUACCCAGCCCGGUAAAACUCAAUCUGAAUCUUCGUCCUAGUACAGAGUUUGCUGGGACACAAAGCCAACCAGGAAUUUUGUAAAGAACAGUCCUGUACAUCUUCAGAUUAAUUAUUUUUGUCAUGAUUCUGGUCGGGCUUAUUUGAAAAUAAAAAUACUUGAGUUGUACAAAUGAAUUCUCACUCACAUGACAAUUAGAUUCUUUGUUCUUGAGUUAGGAUUGCUCAUUGUUUCAGAUUUGGAAGUUGGGAAAGUUUACACUGGCUUUGAAGUCACCAUUUAGAAUGGCUUUAAAAUAAACGUGGUCAGGAUAUCAGAGGAGUUUACUCUUUUUUAUCCCCUCCGCUGCCUGUAUCCCAUACCUAAGACACCUAUCGAUACACACGCAGGGUACAAUGGCACACGACACUCUCCAUCACCAUGGACCCGAGUGAUGCCCAUUUCUGCGUGUGCACUGAGGAGGAUACUUUGGGCAGACUACCUUCAGCUGAUGCCAGGAGUGUAUAUUAAAGGAGGUUACUUCACGCUGAAUGUGAGAACGAUGUUAGGAGAUUGGAAUUUUAACUUCCUGCUAUCAACUUCAGUCUCAGAAUUCCAUAAAAACCUCUUAUGUCCAAGCCCAUUCUGUUGACACACUGAUAUUUACCCGGUCUCAAAGCUACUUACGUACCUCGUCUUUUUUUUACCCGUUAUGUUUAAUGUUUUCUACGUGUAAUCUGAGGAGUCACUUUGUUUGCUAAAUAUACCUUGUUCAUGUCAUAAAGAAUGUAAUUUAAAUAACUAAUUCUUCAGACUGUGGUAAAUCAGAAUACCACUGUCUAUCCACUGCCUAGAAUAUGCUAGGAAUUAUUUAGGGAGUUUCUAUAAGUUAGCUAAUGUGUAACCUUACAAAUCCUUUGAAAAUGGCUCUUAGUUUAUUUGAUGAAGAUGAUGUUUCAAUUUACAUGUAGCUGGUCAACACCUUCAUUGGAAUACACUACUAUGAAUUGCAUAUGAAGAUGACUGUUAUUUUUCAAGAUUUCAAACUUAUGGAAAGCACAAAAAGCCUUUGAUUUUGACCUCCACUGACAGAAUGGACUCAUAUGGAAACGAUGUUGAGCUGUGGAAUGCAUGCUUUCUUUCAUGACUAACAAAGGGAUGUUCAAAAGUCAUUAACCCUUUCCUAUGCUGUAUGCUUCUAAUAUAAACACAGUGAUUUAACAGUGAAAGAAAAGCAGCGGGCCAGUUGUGUUUAUGGGUUCCUUAAAUGUUUGAAGAAACUUCUUAUAAAAGGAUCAAAAAUGAAGAGAAAGAAAGGAAGGAAAAAAAUUGCACAUUUCUGUUAAAACACAGGGCCAAGUCACCAGAGUCCCCUUCAGUCUCUGGCAUUGAUUUUGCUACUGUAGUCAAGAGUACAAUGCAAUUGAAAAAUAGUUUCUUUAUAUAAAUUGACAAAGCAACCCAAGGAAGAAAAAGAAAAAUAGGUAAUGAAUCUGCAGAGAAUGCCUAUUAUGAUAGAGUCAGCAUCAGCUGACUCCGGAGCCCUGAUCAAUGUGCUUGCCCGUGUCUCUGAGAGUCUCUGUUUCGAAAAUGGAAGAGGAAACGGAUGAUGGAACACUUAGCUGCUGUGAACCAAAGCAGAUUAUUAAUCGUCUAUAAGGAGCGAGCAAUGUAGACUUUGGGCUGCCUACUUUCUGAUUGCGAGGCUCAUUUUUAGGAAAAGAGAGUCACACAUUAUAAGAAGUAAAACCAAUUUAUAGUCUUGACCAAAAGGGUCUGAUAGGUAAGAUUGAUGGUUAUUGCCGAAGGCGCUGAGAGGGGAUUGCUCUUUCACUCACAGGAAAGGCAAAUGAAGGCCAGGGGCCAGCAGAUCUGACAGCCAAGUCCUGUCUCUCCGAAGCUAACGUCUAAACAGGGUUUUCCCUCUCCCUUCAUUCACAUGUUCAUGCUUUUACAUCCUUCAGUUUCUUGUUUGAAUACUCAUUAUUUUAAUAUUUGAGCCAGAAGAGAAAAUGGCAGAGGACAGAAUGGACAUGCGUGUUCAGGGGGGACCUUGAAUAAGCAGCAAAAUGCUCCUGGUAAUCCUUUUUACUGAGCCCCUAAUUAACCCUCUGGAAUCAGGGAUGGGAUAAACCCUCAUUCUUCAUGGGUCCUACUAGUAGAUGCACAUUGGAUGACUGCAGUGGAAUGUAGCUAAAGGAUUUAGGGAAAGAUAUUACUUGGACACACUAGCAAGUUUUUUGCAUCUAAGGCCAAUAGAAAGAAGAGCAGAAAUGAUAGUGCUGUAAAAAAAACACAGGCUUAUAAGUAUUAGGAAUAUAAGCACAGACAGGAUGCAAGUAUUUACAGUUUAGUUUUUAUGAACAUUAUAAUAAUAUGAUCUAUUCCUUUAACUCUUUUACUUAAGAAUAUCCAGGUAAUAACAAAUUCUGGAAAUAAAAAUAAAGAAAAAUGUCCUCCUCACUUACCCCUCCCCUAACAUUUUUAAUAUUCUGAGAAUAUACUGACCCAUUAUUACUUGGAGGUUUGCCUCUUAUUGAGAAACUUGAAACAUCUGAUGUAAGCACAGAGAGUCAGACCAGAGAGGCCUCUUGUUCUUCUUUAAUUUGGGAAAGAUAACCUUUGAAAAUCAGAUACCCAGUGCUAAAAUGAGGCCUGCAGCCCAGCAUAGGUCCUCAUCUGUCUCUUGGCAGUAUAAGGAACUACAACCUUGGUCUGAGGUAACAAGACAGACUUCACAGAGUUGAGAGGUUUGGAAUGCUUCCCUUAAGGAAUCUCAGCGUUGUCCCGGAACAAUGUAACCUCAUUUUGACAUGACCAAUGUACUUAUCAGAAGUAUCAGAAUAUUGGAAACAAAUUUAUUUUUUCUAAAAAAAUUAACUCAAAUGAGUAUGAUUAUGACUUCUGUGGUUAAAACCAAGUCCUUGUAUUUCCUAGUUCCUUGUCAGUUGUAUACAGGCUCCCUUAAACUAUUCUUUAUCUAAAAGGAAAAUAGCAUGUCUUUGGCUAGUAACCUGAUGAUAAAGUACAUGGUGCUGUCACUGGGAAUUUUGGUUAUGGAAAAAAAGGGAAAUUGUGGCUUAAGAAAAAUAUUGAGACAACCAAAACAAGAAUUUGUAUUUUCCUUUGAAAGUAAGACUUGCAAAAUUUUAAGUUUUUGCUGGGUCAGAAAGUGAACUCAGGAGUUUACACGCAUUAGUUGUCCAAACCCCAAUUCUGCACUUAAAUGAAGAGGCUGAAAGUGGACCUCCAAAUUGGUAAUUGGAUUGAGAGUGGCAGCCUAACUAAUGUGUUCUAAACAUCUUCAAAUUACGUUUAUCAUGAUUUAAAUUUUUAUUGUAGUGUUUACUCUAUUUCAGAGAUCAUUCUGUUAAAUGAUUUUCAAAUAGAUAUCUAGACAGUCUUAUCCUGUUAUUUACACAUGGUAGUAUGACACAUCAUGAAUAUAACACCUACUUUAAUCUAAUCUUAGCAUGCUAUCAAGUACUAGUAGGAAUGACUAUGACUACCCACUAUUUCCCAAGUACUGGAAAAGGAAAAAUCAUGGGUGAUUCCUUUUUUAUACCAUAUUAUCUAGAAAUGGUUUACAGAUGUUCUAGAAACCCAACUUAAUAGACAAUUUAUUAUUUAACUACCUUCUCGUAUUGGAGCAGAGUGUCAACGUAUCAAGGCUUUAUAAAAGCAUUUCUGAGUGUGUGAUGUUCUAAACUGAGAUAUGUGAUAAAAAUUUCCUAAAGACAGUCGUAUUUGCUAUUCCAGUUACUACAUUGGAAAAACUGGGGGAAUCUAGUUGGAAUGAUUCUUGAAGUAUCUAUGAUCAGAGUUACAUUUCAAUUUUAGGCUUAUUAGGCCAAAAUAAAUACAACUGUUAUCUUGAAAACAGCAUGUUACUGUAAGGGUUUCCAUGUUGUCAUCAUGGCCACCUGAAUUCCACAGUGUAUUUUCAAGGAAGACACUCUGAGUCACUCAGUCCUCCUGGGAUAUGAUGUAUUUGUACAUACAGAUUGCACUUUAGAAGCAAAUCCUCUGCAGGCAAAGCUGACUGGAUUCUGAUAGAAUCCAAGAUACACUGCUAAAACGGGUUCUGCUUACUUCAUUUUUAAACAUUUACUUAUUCACUUUACAUCCUGCUGGUCCCUCCUCCUGGUCACCCCCUCCCACAAUUACUUCCCCCCCAUCCCCCUCACCUUCUCCUCUGAGAGCCCCCUCCUCCAGUACAUUAAGUCUCUCUGGGGCUAGGCACAUCCUCUCCCACUGAGGCCUGACAAGGCAGCCCAGCUAGAAGAAAUAUUCCACAGGCAAGCAACAGCUUUUGGGAUAGCCUCUGCUCUGGUUGUUCUGAACUCACGUGAAGACCAAGCUGCACAUAUGUUACAUGUGAGCGGCAAGACCUAAGUUAAUCUAUGUAUAUUCUUUGGCUGUUAGUUGAGUUUCUGAGAGUACCAAGGGUCCAAGGGAGUUGACUCUGUUGGUCUUACUGUGGAGUUCCUAUCCCCUUUGAGGUCCAAAUUUCCUAUUCUUCCAUAAGAAAGAGUUUCCAAGCACUAUCCACCAUUUGGCUGUGGAUCUCUCCCUCUGUUGGAGUCAGCUUCUUGGUGGAGCCUCUCAGAGGACAGCCAUGCUACACUCCUGUCUGCAAACUACAGAGUGUCAUUUACAGUGUCAGGGAUUGGUUCUUGACCAUAGGACGGGUCUAAAGUUGGGCCAGUUAUUGGUUGGCCAUUCCCUGAGUCUCUGUUUCAUUUCCCCAUUCCUGCAUUUCUUGUAGACAGGAGUUUUGGGUCAAAAUUUAUUAACUCUUUCUGUUCAUUCAAAAUUCCUCAACCCAUUUCAUUUUUAGAUCAUUUUCUUUUUUAUGAAUACUUUUAUGUUUUGGGAAUAAUAUAAUUGUGUAACUUUCCCUUUUCUGGUCUGUGUGUGUGUGUGUGUGUGUGUGUGUGUGUGUGUGUGUGUUUGUGUGUGUAGGAUCAUCUUAAAAUUCAUGGCUUCUUUUUAUUGAUUGAUAUUACAUGAGUGUAUGCAUUCCUAAAUAUAUAAACACUGCUUAGUCUGUAUGUUACAUAUAUGUUGAAACUUUAGUUGAAACUGAGGAGGACUGACUAUUCUCAGCACUCUAGAGUUGCCUGUGUUUCUUUGUAUGGAUGGGAUUGAACCUCGCGGCCUUUCUCAUGUACUUUGGCAUGUCUACUGAUGUUGUUCUUGUUCAGCUGAUGAUGAGGGCAUCUUAUUGAUGAGACAUUCCAGGUAGCUUCAGUCAUUUCUAGGAGACACAGUCCCACAGAAAACUCCUAUUCCUCUGGAUCUGACACCCUUUCUCUGUUCCCUCUCUCAGAACAUUCCCUGAGCCUUAAGUGGGGGACUUUUACAAUUUGCUCCAAAAGCACCCUCAACUGGACCCAACUGUUCAGAUCCACAAGCCUAUGGGGAACCCUUCUUACUCAAACCAUAACAUUACUCUUACUUGUUUUCUUCUCAUCUGAGCACUACAAAACUGUGUUACUGUUUUUCCACUUCCAGUCCUAACUUUAGCUCUCUACAUAGAAGAUAUUUGAUAGUUCUUCAGAGUAAACCCUAAACAUGUUUGUUCAUAGCUUCAAAUUAUCCAAUCCCAUGCAUAGUCUUUUCCAAGGAUUCACCUGAUUUCACUUCUGUCUUUGUUUGUAGCAUCUCCCUCCAUAGAUUUUAUGCCUUCUUGGCAUUUGCCCAGAUUGCUUGCUUUGCUUACAAAUCUGCAGUUCUCCACCCUUCUCUGGCUUAGUUGAUACUUAAUGUAUUAAUGCUCAUUCCUGGACUUUAAUGCUCAUAGGAAUCCUGCACAAGCAUUUCUUCCUUUUCAACAUGUCUUGACAUAUCUCAGAGAAAUUUAAUAUUUCUGUUAUUAAUGAUUAUAUUUGUUUGUAUUUAAUCUCUUUGCAAUUUUUCAUUUAUUCCUCUGUCCAUACUAGACAGUAAAUAAGGUAAAUUAUUCUAUUGGCAUUUCUGAGAGUUUCCUCCAAAGUAUUUAGCUUAAUAUUUGCAAUUUGCAAGGAUCCCCACACAGCCUAUAAACUAAUAGCAUUUCUGUUUAGUUCAUUUACUAUUUCAACUGGUUUUAUUUUGACUGUUUCAGUUUGUAACCACUCAUGUGAAACAGGUUCAUUUCUAUGGUUUUAUAAAAGCAUUUUCCUAAGAGACCCCUUAACCUUUCUAUUUUUUUAUACUCCCUUUCUUUUUGAACCAAGUCAAAUAUGGAAUACCAAUUUUUACCAUUAAAUAUUUUUGAAGAGAAUGAUUUAAAGGAAUGCAAGACAUAUUUUUCUCCAUUCCACAGGUAGUUUCACACUAAAAGCUUUCCAUUGUUUUUCAUUUCUAUUAUCUUCAUUAAGACUAUUCCAUAAUUUAAAAACCCAUAUUACAUUUAAAAGGUAAAAAUGUACCUCCAUACCUGUACAUUUACAUGGACAUGCAUACACAGACUUUUGUGCCUCCAUACAGGUAUAGAGAUAUAAAAUAUAACUAUAAAUUUAUGUGUUUGUAUAUGUGAAUAUAUUAAAUGUAUAAUGAUACUAUAAGUUUUGUGUUCAU